AUCCCUUUGGGGAUAUCCGAUAAAAUUAGAACCAUAUAAAGAAGAAGAAUAUUUCUCCACAAGGAUGACACGGAAAUCUAAAAAUGAUCCACAUUUUUUU
rnacentral:snRNA from 1 species